rnacentral:rRNA from 1 species
UAGGGAAUCUUCCGCAAUGGACGAAAGUCUGACGGAGCAACGCCGCGUGAACGAGGAAGAUCUUCGGAUCGUAAAGUUCUGUUGUUAGGGAAGAACAAGUACCGUUUGAAUAAGGCGGUACCUUGACGGUACCUAACGAGAAAGCCACGGCUAACUACGUGCCAGCAGCCGCGGUAAUACGUAGGUGGCAAGCGUUAUUCGGAAUUAUUGGGCGUAAAGCGCGCGCAGGUGGUUUCUUAAGUCUGAUGUGAAAGCCCCCGGCUCAACCGGGGAGGGUCAUUGGAAACUGGGAGACUUGAGUGCAGGAGAGGAAAGUGGAAUUCCACGUGUAGCGGUGAAAUGCGUAGAGAUGUGGAGGAACACCAGUGGCGAAGGCGACUUUCUGGCCUGCAACUGACACUGAGGCGCGAAAGCGUGGGGAGCAAACA